rnacentral:ncRNA from 2 species
UAAUAGAUAAAAUUUUAUAUUUUAAAUAAUUUAUUUUUAAUUUAUUUUACAUAUAAAUUUUAGUGAAUAAUUUUAAUUAUUUUAAAAAUAAUUAAUAAUGUUUUGUAGUAAUUAAUAUUAAAAAUUUAAGAAAUUAAGAUUUAGUAAUAAAAAAAUUAAUAACUAAUUUUGUGCCAGCAGUUGCGGUUAAACAAAAGUUAAAUUAAAUUAAUUCAGUAAAUAAUAAAUAAUAAUAUUAUUUUAAAAAAUAUUAAAUUAUAAGGUGAAAUUUUAAUUUAAUUAAAAUUUAUAUAAAAAUUAUGAUUUAGUAAAUUUUAUUAUAAACUAGGAUUAGAUACCCUAUUAUUAAAAAUUUAAUUUUAAAUACUAAAAUAGUAAAUAAUAAAUAUUGAAACUUAAAUAAAAUGGCGGUAUUUUAGUUCAUUUAGAGGAAUCUGUCUAGUAAUUGAUAAUCCACGAAUAAAUUUACUUAAUAAAAAAUUUUGUAUAUCAUUGUUAAAAAAAUAUUUUUAUAUAAAAAUAAUAUUUUAAAAUUUUAAAUAUAAAUUAAUUCAGAUCAAGAUGCAGAUUAUAAUUAAGAUUAAGAUGGAUUACAAUAAAUUUAUUUAAACGAAAAUAAAUUUUUUAAUAUAAAAUUGAAGGUGGAUUUAAAUGUAAUUUUAAUUAGUUUGUUAAAAUGAUUAAUAAUUGAAAUAUGUACAUAUUGCCCGUCACUUUCAUUUAAAAAUUGAAAUAAGUCGUAACAAAGUAGAGGUACUGGAAAGUGUUUCUAGAAUGAU